GACAGAGGUGCCAAGCGUUAGGCGGAAUCACUGGGCGUAAAGAGUGUGUAGGCGGCUUUGCAAGUUUGGUGUGAAAUCUCCCGCUUAACUGGGAGGGUGCGCCGAAAACUGCAAGGCUCGAGUGCUGGAGAGGAGAGCGGAAUUCCUGGUGUAGCGGUGAAAUGCGUAGAUAUCAGGAGGAACACCGGUGGUGUAGACGGCUCUCUGGACAGUCACUGACGCUGAGACACGAAAGCGUGGGGAGCAAACAGG
rnacentral:rRNA from 1 species